rnacentral:rRNA from 1 species
AUUCCCGCAACGAGCGCAACCCUCGUUCUAUGUUGCCAGCACGUAAUGGUGGGAACUCAUGGGAUACUGCCGGGGUCAACUCGGAGGAAGGUGGGGAUGACGUCAAAUCAUCAUGCCCCUUAUGUCUUGGGCUUCACGCAUGCUACAAUGGCCGGUACAAUGGGCUGCGAUACCGUAAGGUGGAGCGAAUCCCAAAAAGCCGGUCCCAGUUCGGAUUGAGGUCUGCAACUCGUCCUCAUGAAGUCGGAGUCGCUAGUAAUCGCAGAUCAGCAACGCUGCGGUGAAUACGUUCCCGGGUCUUGUACACACCGCCCGUCAAGUCAUGAAAGUCGGUAACACCUGAAGCCGGUGGCCGAACCCCGAGAGGGUGGGCCCGGAUGAGUCC